CUACGCUGCGAUAAGCCGUGGGGAGCUGCGAAGAAGCUUUGAUCCGCGGAUUUCCGAAUGGGGAAACCCACCUUCGAUAGCCGGAACUCCAAAAUCUUGUGUCUUAAACGACCUUGUGGUUUUGGGGUUUGACCAGAAAUGAUCGGAACCAUGACCUCUUGAGGUUUUGGAUUUCCGGUUAUCAAGAGAAGGUAUGAGACCUCCGAAUAAAAUAGGAGGUUUUAAGCAAACCCAGGGAACUGAAACAUCUAAGUACCUGGAGGAAAGGACAUCAAUCGAGACUCCGUUAGUAGUGGCGAGCGAACGCGGACCAGGCCAGUGAUACAUCAAAGACAAUCGGAACCUGUCAGGAAAGCAGGGCCUCAGAGGGUGAUAGCCCCGUACGAGUAAUGCGAUGAUGUAUCCACGAGUAAGGCGGGACACGUGUAAUCCUGUCUGAACACGGGGGGACCACCCUCCAAGCCUAAGUACUCCUCAGCGACCGAUAGC
rnacentral:rRNA from 1 species